ensembl:miRNA MIR4274 microRNA 4274
GGGGCAUUUAGGGUAACUGAGCUGCUGCCGGGGCCUGGCGCUCCUCUACCUUGUCAGGUGACCCAGCAGUCCCUCCCCCUGCAUGGUGCCC